UUUAAUAGGGGAAUGUACCACAUG
rnacentral:siRNA from 1 species